UACGGAGGGUGCAAGCGUUAUCCGGAUUCACUGGGUUUAAAGGGUGCGUAGGCGGGCAGGUAAGUCCGUGGUGAAAUCUCUGAGCUUAACUCAGAAACUGCCAUGGAUACUAUUUGUCUUGAAUAUUGUGGAGGUAAGCGGAAUAUGUCAUGUAGCGGUGAAAUGCUUAGAUAUGACAUAGAACACCAAUUGCGAAGGCAGCUUACUACACAGUUAUUGACGCUGAGGCAACGAAAGCGUGGGGAUCAAACAGG
rnacentral:rRNA from 1 species